rnacentral:rRNA from 1 species
UACAGAGGGGGCAAGCGUUGUUCGGAAUUACUGGGCGUAAAGGGCGCGUAGGCGGCCUGCUAAGUCGAACGUGAAAUCCCUGGGCUCAACCCAGGAACUGCGUCCGAUACUGGUUGGCUUGAAUCCGGGAGAGGGAUGUGGAAUUCCAGGUGUAGCGGUGAAAUGCGUAGAUAUCGGAAGGAACAUCAGUGGCGAAAGCGACUUCCUGGACCAAUACUGACGCUCAUGUGCGAAAGCGUGGGGAGCGAACAGG